rnacentral:rRNA from 1 species
UACGUAGGGCGCAAGCGUUGUCCGGAAUUAUUGGGCGUAAAGAGCUCGUAGGCGGCUUGUCACGUCGGAUGUGAAAGCCCGGGGCUUAACCCCGGGUCUGCAUUCGAUACGGGCAGGCUAGAGUUCGGUAGGGGAGAUCGGAAUUCCUGGUGUAGCGGUGAAAUGCGCAGAUAUCAGGAGGAACACCGGUGGCGAAGGCGGAUCUCUGGGCCGAUACUGACGCUGAGGAGCGAAGGCGUGGGGAGCGAACAGG